UACGGAGGGUGCGAGCGUUGUCCGGAAUCACUGGGCGUAAAGGGCGCGUAGGUGGCCGAGCAAGGUUGCGGUGAAAGCCCGGGGCUCAACCCCGGGUCGGCCGUGGCAACUACUCGGCUUGAGCACUGUAGGGGCGGGUGGAAUUCCGGGUAUAGCGGUGGAAUGCGUAGAGAUCCGGAAGAACACCGGUGGCGAAGGCGGCCCGCUGGGCAGGAAGGCUCGCAAGAGCCGGCUGACACUGAGGCGCGACAGCGUGGGGAGCAAACAGG
rnacentral:rRNA from 1 species